AAAUUACACUUUGCAUUCAAUGCAUAUUUAAUUAAACUAGCAUAUGCAUACACAAGUUUAAUUAAAUAUGCAUUGAAUGCAAAGUGUAAUUUAACAGGGAG
rnacentral:miRNA from 1 species